GAGGAAUAUUGGUCAAUGGGCGAGAGCCUGAACCAGCCAAGUCGCGUGAAGGAAGAAGGAUCUAUGGUUCGUAAACUUCUUUUGCAGGGGAAUAAAGUGCAGGACGUGUCCUGUUUUGUAUGUACCCUGAGAAUAAGGAUCGGCUAACUCCGUGCCAGCAGCCGCGGUAAUACGGAGGAUCCGAGCGUUAUCCGGAUUUAUUGGGUUUAAAGGGUGCGUAGGUGGUUUGAUACGUCAGCGGUGAAAGUUUGCAGCUUAACUGUAAAAAUGCCGUUGAAACUGUCGGACUUGAGUGUAAAGGAGGUAGGCGGAAUGCGUGGUGUAGCGGUGAAAUGCGUAGAGAUCUGGAGGAAUACCGGUGGCGAAGGCGGCCCCCUGGACGAAGACUGACGCUCAGGUGCGAAAGCGUGGGGAGCAAAC
rnacentral:rRNA from 1 species